UGGAGUUUCACCUGUGGGCCAAUUCAAUUGGGGUAUUGUGUGUAGAUGCGUGAGGGAGAGAAAAAAAUGAUUUCAUCCAUUUCGAAUUCAUGUUGUAAAUACAAUAAAAUGUGUAAGAAGUCAAUGGUUGAUGAAUAUUUUCCGAAGGCACUGAACCCUUUUAACCUGCUUAAUGAAACUACACCACACUGUUUCCAGAUCAGGUAAAGAAGACCCGAAGAACAAACUGAAAGACAAAACCAGAAAGAGGUCCCCAUUAGAGUCCCCCAGUAGGACGUCUCAGCGUAGAGGCAGCUGCUGUAGCUCCCACAGUGCAUCACUCUCCUCCACAGGCCACAGCCCCUCCAAGUCCCUCGGCAGGCCCAACUCCAAGCACAAGACAGAAGGACACAAGGCCUGUGUGAGCCCUUCCCCGUCUCCCGGUCCUGACGGUCCUGUCACGUGGCACAACGGGCACCACCACCAAAGCGACCGCGGCUGCAACGGCAAGGCGGGCAGACUCAACAGCCACGCGGUCGAGGAGGACAAGGAGCAAGAUAAGCUGAGAAUGCUGACUGCUGUUUCUCCGGGAGCCCAGUCGACCAUGAUACUGCCACAACUGAGAGGAGGAGAGAACAAGGCCCACACUGCCCUCUACAGGGCCCCAGGAAGUACUGCUGCCCAGGCUGGAGAGGCCCUACAUGGGGAGGACAGGCAGACUACGGACCUGGGGUCGUCAGGGAGAUGGGGAGGUCACAGAGGUCACAGAGUCCAGGGGAAGCGCUCCCAUUCGCCGACUCACAGCAGUGACUCCGCCCACUCUCAACAUAACCUGCAUCCUCACAGAGAAAAGAGCUCUCACCAGAAGAAGACUAAAAGAUCCCACUCUUCCAAGCGUCACCGCCGUGGGGGUCGGGGACAGGCCCAUCACCAGAGGCUGUCUGCAUCCCCAGGGCGGCACCACCAUGCGUCUGGGUCAGGCACCAAGAAGAGUGAGUCUCGGGGGCGGGGCGGUGUCGGUGUCCGCCAGCGCAGCAGCUCCUGGAGCUCAGGACGGUCCUCAUCAUGCUCUGCCUCCAGAGAGAGAGCCCCCAGCAAGGCCAAGUCCCUCCACAUCCAUGCCAGACAGAACAAUUCCAGUUUUUCCGCUAAGGACAGAGAUAGUCCUCACCACUCUGACGCUGACCGUGCUCACCGUCGUUCCAGGAGCUACUCUCCCAUCAGGAAGAGGAGACGAGACUCUCCCAGCUUCAUGGAGGCUCGCAGGAUCACCAGCGCUCGGAAGCGGCCUAUCCCGUACUACCGCCCCAGCCCUUCCUCCUCCAGUUCCAUGUCAAGCCCCUCCCAUUCAGGGAGGAGUCGCAGCCGCAGCUACAGCUGCAGUCACAGCCACACCAGGAGCCACAGCCGCUCACGCAGCCCCAGGAGCCACAGCCGCUCACGCAGCCCCAGGAGCCACAGCAACUACAGUCGCAGCAGCUAUGAAAGCCCCGGCUUCUGAUGAGAGAGAGACAGAGAGAGGGGGAGUUGGGGGGGGAGAGAGAGAGAGAUAGAUGGGGGAGAACAGCAGGAGAGAUUGAGGGAGAGAGAGGGGGAGGGAGAUAAAUCAUGUUAUGCGUCCCUGAUUGGUCCAAACACAGGGUCAGACCUUCUCUGUUUUUUCUACCAUCCUCAGUCUCCAUCUCUGAAUACCAGCGUUAACCAGAGCCUGGAUCUGAAAUAUCCAUUUGUCUUCACACAGGCACAAUUUAAAAUAACAUUUUUCAGAUCAUGCUUUUAGAAAAUAAUUGAUAAAGAACUAUUCUGUAAGCACUUUCUCUAUAUGUUUCUGCAUAGCAAAAGUAAACCCCCC
ensembl:lncRNA